GAACUGGAUCUGGACCCUUU
rnacentral:piRNA from 1 species